rnacentral:lncRNA from 1 species
UGCCUGACUAUUAAGACCAAUAAAAUAUUCAUUUCAGUGUUUUAGGAGUGUGAAAAACAGAAAAUUCAAAGAUUUUAUUCUGUGGGCAAGCGUACUAAAAUGUGUCAUCUGCGAAGUUUAUCAGUUUACUAUUACAAGGGAUUAUGCACCAUCAAGGGGAAACUUGUACAAAAUAAUAUAAUAAGGCUAAGUCCCGAGUCUCAACAGACUGGCAUGAGGGGAAAACGAGGUACUAACUCACUUUAUCAACCAUAGGCAGAUGAGAGUAAAAGGGUACUAAGUUCCAUGAUAAACUAUUCUUGGCUGGGAAAUCAGGGCCUCUGCCGGCUUCGUGUACUUAGUUCUUGUAUUUUCUGUUUUUUAUUCUAAGCAGGUUCUUUCAGUUUACAAAUACUAGGUAAUUAAAAGCAUACCACAGAGGACAUGUGAGGAAUUUACUCUCAAAAGACGUUAGGGCCAAAGACGUGUCGUUGUUGCACUCUGAUAUAAACUUGAGUGGAUGCCGAGCUCGUGAAAGUGUAAUGUUGCUACUGCUGAAAACGACCGGUUUCGGGGGAGGAAAGACAUUCGCGGGAGCUGCCAGGUCGGGGUGCUACGCGGGGCACACUCGUGCCGCCCAGGGUCCUUGAAUGGCCGUGCUCCGAAGAGCCAAGGGGAGAGCCAAGAAGUAGAACCACUGUGUUACAUCCUGCGUUUAUUGAAGCAAACCAAUCGUGGAGAGGAAAUGAAUGCGUUCGUGACGUGUUACAAAUACAGAAUCUGCUCCUGGGUCCGCUUCAGCCUCUGCAGCUCCGGCGUGUCGGUGACGAUGCUGAAACCCCUUCCUUUGCUCUCUUCAAAAUCUCUUUUGUACUUGACCUGGUGAGAGAGGGGGACAUAGAAGAAAGAAAAAUAAACAGAGGGGUCGCACGCUCCCCGGGCCCGG